rnacentral:rRNA from 1 species
UACGUAGGCAGCAAGCGUUGUUCGGAGUUACUGGGCGUAAAGGGUGUGUAGGCGGUUCUUUAAGUUUGGUGUGAAAUCUCCCGGCUCAACUGGGAGGGUGCGCCGAAUACUGAGGGACUAGAGUACGGGAGAGGAAAGUGGAAUUCCUGGUGUAGCGGUGAAAUGCGUAGAUAUCAGGAGGAACACCGGUGGUGUAGACGGCUUUCUGGACCGUAACUGACGCUGAGACACGAAAGUGUGGGUAGCAAACAGG